AUUGAACGCUGGCGGCAGGCCUAACACAUGCAAGUCGAACGAGUGGCGGACGGGUGAGUAAUGUCUGGGAAACUGCCUGAUGGAGGGGGAUAACUACUGGAAACGGUAGCUAAUCCCGCAUACCAUCAGAUGUGCCCAGAUGGGAUUAGCUAUUUGGGGGGGUAAAGGCUCACCAAGGCGACGAUCCCUAGCUGGUCUGCGAGGAUGACCAGCCACCCUGGAACUGAGACACGGUCCAGCCUCCUACGGGAGGCAGCAGUGGGGAAUAUUGCACAAGGGGCGCAAGCCUGAUGCAGCCAUGCCGCGUGUAUGAAGAAGGCCUUCGGGUUGUAAAGUAUUUUCAGCGGGGAGGCGUUACCCGCAGAAGAAGCACCGGCUAACUCCGUGCCAGCAGCCGCGGUAAUUC
rnacentral:rRNA from 1 species